AACGCGAAGAACCUUACCAGCCCUUGACAUGUCCAGGACCGGUCGCAGAGAUGUGACCUUCCCUUCGGAGCCUGGAACACAGGUGCUGCAUGGCUGUCGUCAGCUCGUGUCGUGAGAUGUUGGGUUAAGUCCCGCAACGAGCGCAACCCCCGUCCUUAGUUGCUACCAUUUAGUUGAGCACUCUAAGGAGACUGCCGGUGAUAAAGCCGCGAGGAAGGUGGGGAUGACGUCAAGUCCUCAUGGCCCUUACGGGCUGGGCUACACGCGUGCUACAAUGGCGGUGACAAUGGGAUGCUAAGGGGCGACCCUUCGCAAAUCUCAAAAAGCCGUCUCAGUUCGGAUUGGGCUCUGCAACUCGAGCCCAUGAAGUUGGAAUCGCUAGUAAUCGUGGAUCAGCACGCCACGGUGAAUACGUUCCCGGGCCUUGUACACACCG
rnacentral:rRNA from 1 species